GCCCUCUCCGCCUUCUCUCUCGGCACUGCAUGAUCCUUGAGGAUGGUGAUUCUAACUUGUCCUGUUAACAGUAUGCCUCUCCAUCUACGAGAAGGAUUUUUCAGAGACCUACCCAUGUUUCAAGGCAGAGGGAACGGAGCCAGUGCAAAGAAAAAGAGAAGGGAGCUAGGGAACCGGCCUUGAAGAAGAGAGGGAUGGUACUUGAGAGGGCACCCUGACUCUGAAUGCUUCAUUCUGGGAAGGUUCUUAGAGAGAAGAGAAGAGAUGAACAGAGCAGAGCAGAGAAGAGAAAGGAGGAGAAGAGCUGAACAGAGCAGAGCAGAGCAGAGCAGAGAAGAGCAGAGCAUACUACUUAACUGUGACCCUGAAAGUAAAUCAGCAUGCUGAGGAUGUUCAGUCUGCUUGACAUUUUGAGAAAUAAUGUUUUAAGAGAAUCCUUCGCAAUUUUGUGAAAGAGGACAGAAGAGGCAAGUUGUGAGAAUGUAAAAAUCUGUACAGAUUGCCAAUGUCCUAACAUCUUUGUGAUAAAGAGACAUUAUAUUCAUGAGGAAGUUUUAAACAUCCCUUCAUAUGACGCAAAGGCUGCCUUUCUAUGAACACGAAGAUCAUGUAAUUGUAGUACAAUUCCAGCGCUUUUUUUCCUCUGGGAAUUCUGCUCCCUCAAUUAACCGGACUUCACAACUGUUGUCUCCUGUAAUGACCUUGCCAAGAGGGAAAGAUCUGGAACUUUAUACUUUCAUAUGAUAAUGUUGAAGAAUGAAAAUAUUUUGACCAACGAACAUGAACGGAUCAGAGCAGCAUCUGACUACCCUUUACACGGGAAGGGCCUGCUGACGUGCCACAACUCCUGAGACAGCUCCAUCACUGGAAAUGCAGGAAGAAGGCAGAGCCUGUCCUGAACUCGGCAACCGGGAGGGCUGAGGCAGCCCAGAGAGACACUAAUACCAGCUCAAGACAAGGUUGACAUAAGGGAAGCCAUAUUGUAGAAAAGAAACCAUAUUGUAACUUUAAACGACCUAUGAUGAACUGUCCCAGACACGCUCUGUAGAUUUUGUGGCCCCUCCCUGCUGCUUUAAGAUCAUAACUUUGUUCUUUUGCAUUCCUUAGGAAUGUGAUCACCCCUGGGAGAGAGUCUACCCUGAUAGCCAUCACCCAGGACAACUGAAAGGAACCUGAAGAAUUCCGUCAGGAUACCAGAUUUUUAAAAGGCUUUCUUCCCAAGGGUCUUUACUUCAGCAAUACAUAACUACUUUCCUCACUCCUGCCAAUAGACAGUUUUCAUGAAGUUAUUGUCAAUGAUGGUUGAAGACGGAAAAUCUCCAAAGAAACGUCCAUGGCUUUUAAGAUAGGAGGAAUUUUAGGGGCUGGCCCUCUGGCUGAGUAAUUAAGUUCCUGCGCUCCACUUUAGCGGCCCAGGGUUUCACCUGUUUGGAUCCUGGGUGCA